rnacentral:tRNA from 1 species
GGACCAUUAGCCAAACGGUUAAGGCAGUCGCCUCAUAAGCGAAAGAUUUCUAUGUUCGAAUCACAGAUGGUCCA